GUCCCGCACAGUGACCCCGCUCCUGGUUCUGUGCAUCGGGGCUUCGUGAAAGGGAGAUCGUGGGAACCGAUGUUUGUAGGAACCUGCUAAAAAACACAAACUAAGUCCGGUGUUUGGCUGUCUGUUGCCUGGCCCGGAUCGAAAAUCAACAACAGAAUAAGCAUGUAGAAAACUCGGGGAUUCCUUGUUUGGACGUGGGUUCGACCCCCACCGGGUCCACUG
rnacentral:tmRNA from 1 species